ACCUAACACUGUAGACCUGUCCGAUCUUAGUGAGCUAGGGUAACUGGUUGACUGUAUUAUCUGAACAUCUGCCAGACCCUGUUGAUAAGGCAGUGGCUAGUGAGGGUGGCACUGAAGAUGCAAAAAGAAGGGGUGAUGCGUUUGCUCGGGCAUUUCAGCACAUUUGGCAAG